rnacentral:rRNA from 1 species
AUUGAACGCUGGCGGCAGGCCUAACACAUGCAAGUCGAGCGGAUGAAGGGAGCUUGCUCCUGGAUUCAGCGGCGGACGGGUGAGUAAUGCCUAGGAAUCUGCCUGGUAGUGGGGGAUAACGUCCGGAAACGGGCGCUAAUACCGCAUACGUCCUGAGGGAGAAAGUGGGGGAUCUUCGGACCUCACGCUAUCAGAUGAGCCUAGGUCGGAUUAGCUAGUUGGUGGGGUAAAGGCCUACCAAGGCGACGAUCCGUAACUGGUCUGAGGGGAUGAUCAGUCACACUGGAACUGAGACACGGCCCAGGCUCCUACGGGAGGCAGCAGUGGGGAAUAUUGGACAAUGGGCGAAAGCCUGAUCCAGCCAUGCCGCGUGGGUGAAGAAGGUCUUCGGAUUGUAAAGCACUUUAAGUUGGGAGGAAGGGCAGUAAGUUAAUACCUUGCUGUUUGGACGUUACCAACAGAAUAAGCACCGGCUAACUUCGU